CGAGGGAGUAGGGAAAACCAUGAAGAACUGCUAAUACCUCAUCGACCGCGGUUUAACUCCGCGGCUCCCCCAG
rnacentral:tRNA from 1 species